CCUACGGGAGGCAGCAGUGGGGAAGAGUGCACAAUGGGGGAAACCCUGAUGCAGCGACGCCGCGUGAGUGAAGAAGGAUUUCGGUAUGUAAAGCUCUAACAGCAGGGAAGAAAAUGACGGUACCUGAGUAAGAAGCCCCGGCUAACUACGUGCCAGCAGCCGCGGUAAUACGUAGGGGGCAAGCGUUAGCCGGAUUUACUGGGUGUCAAGGGAGCGUAGACGGCAGCACACGGCUGGAGUGAAAUGCCGGGGCUUAACCCCGGAACUGCUUGGGAAACGGUGCAGCUAGAGUGCAGGAGCGGUCAGUGGAAUUCCUAGUGUAGCGGUGCACUGCGUAGCUAUUAGGAGGAACCCCAGUGGC
rnacentral:rRNA from 1 species